rnacentral:rRNA from 1 species
AUUGAACGCUGGCGGCAGGCUUAACACAUGCAAGUCGAACGGACUACUUCGGUAGUUAGUGGCGAACGGGUGAGUAAUGCCUAGGAAUCUGCCCAUUAGCGGGGGAUAACGUGUGGAAACGCACGCUAAUACCGCAUACGCCCCACGGGGGAAAGCAGGGGAUCUUCGGACCUUGCACUAAUGGAUGAGCCUAGGUCGGAUUAGCUAGUUGGUAGGGUAAAGGCCUACCAAGGCGACGAUCUGUAGCGGGUCUGAGAGGAUGAUCCGCCACACUGGGACUGAGACACGGCCCAGACUCCUACGGGAGGCAGCAGUGGGGAAUUUUGGACAAUGGGCGAAAGCCUGAUCCAGCCAUGCCGCGUGAGUGAAGAAGGCCUUCGGGUUGUAAAGCUCUUUUGUCAGGGAAGAAACACCGGCUCUAACACAGUCCGGGAAUGACGGUACCUGAAGAAUAAGCACCGGCUAACUACGUG